UACAGAGGUCUCAAGCGUUGUUCGGAUUUAUUGGGCGUAAAGGGCGCGUAGGCGGCGGGGUAAGUCGGGUGUGAAAUCUCAGGGCUCAACCCUGAAACUGCAUUUGAUACUGCUCUGCUUGAGGACUGGAGAGGAGACUGGAAUUCACGGUGUAGCAGUGAAAUGCGUAGAUAUCGUGAGGAAGACCAGUGGCGAAGGCGGGUCUCUGGGCAGUAACCGACGCUGAGGAGCGAAAGCGUGGGUAGCGAACAGG
rnacentral:rRNA from 1 species